CGCUGCCUACGGGGGGCAGCAGUGGGGAAUAUUGCACAAUGGGGGGAACCCUGAUGCAGCGACGCCGCGUGAGUGAAGAAGUAUUUCGGUACGUAAAGCUCUAUCAGCAGGGAAGAAAAAAGGACGGUACCUGAGUAAGAAGCCCCGGCUAACUACGUGCCAGCAGCCGCGGUAAUACGUAGGGAGCGAGCGUUGUCCGGAUUUACUGGGUGUAAAGGGUGCGUAGGCGGCUUGGCAAGUCAGUAGUGAAAUCCAUGGGCUUAACCCAUGAACUGCUAUUGAAACUGUCGAGCUUGAGUGAAGUA
rnacentral:rRNA from 1 species